rnacentral:lncRNA from 1 species
UCUGAGGGCCCUCAUGGGGUUUUUGAUUAUGUGAUUACUUGGCCGUUUUUUUAAUGAUUAUUUGAUUAUUAAGCCAAAUAUUUCAUGAUUAUUUGAUUACCUAGGACUGUAUUUUUAGUUUAUGAUUAUUUGAUUACUAAAGAUAAGCAAAUAUUUAAUGAUUAUGUGAUUAUAUUGGCAAAAAAAUGGUGAUUAUGUGAUUACUAGGACCCCCCCCAUGAGGGGCCUCAUCU